rnacentral:rRNA from 1 species
CACGGAGUUAGCCGGGGCUUAUUCUCCCGGUACUGUCAUUAUCAUCCCGGGUAAAAGAGCUUUACAACCCUAAGGCCUUCAUCACUCACGCGGCAUUGCUGGAUCAGGCUUUCGCCCAUUGUCCAAUAUUCCCCACUGCUGCCUCCCGUAGGAGUCUGGGCCGUGUCUCAGUCCCAGUAUGGCUGAUCAUCCUCUAAGACCAGCUAAGGAUCGUCGGCUUGGUAGGCCUUUACCCCACCAACUACCUAAUCCUACGCGGGCCCAUCUAAUGGCGAUAAAUCUUUGGUCCGAAGACAUCAUCCGGUAUUAGCAGUAAUUCCUCACUGUUAUUCCGAACCAAAAGGCAGGUUCCCACGCGUUACGCACCCGUGCGCCACUAACCCCGAAGGGUUCGUUCGACUUGCAUGUGUUAGGCAUGCCGCCAGCGUUUUGUUCUGAGCCAGGAUCAAAUUCU